GUGAGUUAGACCAAAAAUCGACAGAGUAAUCGAGGCAUCGCACCACCAGAGAUUGACCUUUGUUUCCUAAGGAUCAAUUAACGCUUGAAGUCGGGAAGCGUCAAGUGAGACAAAGGACGCGUUGUUAGCGGAACUUUGAAAGCUUGGGUAAGGCACCGGCUCCCUGAAACAUGUUGUUGGACAUGCAGAGAGGAUGCAGCAGUGGAGUGUGG